ACACUCCUGCGGGAGGCAGCAGUGGGGAAUUUUACGCAAUGGGGGAAACCCUGACGUAGCGACACCGCGUGAGCGAAGAAGCCAUUUGGGGUGUAAAGCUCUGUCAGCUGGAACGAAAACAAUGACGGUACCAGCAGAGGAAGCAUCGGCUAACUACGUGCCAGCAGCCGCGGUAAGACGUAGGAUGCGAGCGUUGUCCGGAUUUAUUGGGCGUAAAGAGUUCGUAGGUGGUUUGUUAAGUUUGGUGUUAAAGAUCGGGGCUCAACCCUGGGACUGCACUGAAUACUGGCAGACUCGAGUGUGGUAGAGGCUAGUGGAAUUCCCAGUGUAGCGGUGAAAUGCGUAGAUAUUGGGAAGAACACCGGUGGCGUAGGCGACUAGCUGGGCCAUAACUGACGCUGAGGAACGAAAGCCAGGGGAACGAAUGGGAUUAGAAACCCCUGUAGUCCCA
rnacentral:rRNA from 1 species